UACAGAGGUCUCAAGCGUUGUUCGGAUUCAUUGGGCGUAAAGGGUGCGUAGGCGGCGCGGUAAGUCGGGUGUGAAAUCUUGGAGCUUAACUCCGAAACUGCAUUCGAUACUGCCGUGCUUGAGGACUGGAGAGGAGACUGGAAUUUACGGUGUAGCAGUGAAAUGCGUAGAUAUCGUAAGGAAGACCAGUGGCGAAGGCGGAUCUCUGGACAGUUACUGACACUGAGGCAGCGAAGGCCAGGGGAGCAAACGGG
rnacentral:rRNA from 1 species